AUGGAACAAUGUAGGCAAGGGAAGUCGGCAAAACGGAUCCGUAACUUCGGGAAAAGGAUUGGCUCUGAGGACUGGGCUCGGGGGUCCCGGCCCCGAACCCGUCGGCUGUCGGCGGAUUGCUCGAGCUGCUCACGCGGCAAGAGCGGGUCGCCGCGUGCCGGCCGGGGGACGGACCGGGAAUCGCCCCUUCGGGGGCUUUCCCCGAGCAUGAAACAGUCGACUCAGAACUGGUACGGACAAGGGGAAUCCGACUGUUUAAUUAAAACAAAGCAUUGCGAUGGUCCUCGCGGAUGCUGA
rnacentral:rRNA from 1 species